rnacentral:rRNA from 1 species
CCUACGGGGGGCAGCAGUCGAGAAUAUUCCCCAAUGGCCGAAAGGCUGAGGGAGCGACGUCGCGUGUAUGAAGAAACCCUUCGGGGUGUAAAGUACUUUUAACUGGGACGAAUCAAUGACGGUACCAGUUGAAUAAGGGGCUGCUAAACUCGUGCCAGCAGCAGCGGUAAUACGAGUGCCCCAAGCGUUAUCCGGAUUUAUUGGGCGUAAAGCGUACGUAGGUGGUUUAUCGCAUCUCCUGUUAAAUCCCGAGGCUCAACCUCGGGGCUGCGGGAGAGAUGGCUAAACUAGAGACCGGGAGAGGUAAGUGGAAUUGCUGGUGUAGGGGUUAAAUCCGUUAAUAUCAGCAAGAACACCUAAUGUGAAGACAGCUUACUAGAACGGUUCUGACACUAAGGUACGAAAGCGUGGGGAGCGAAUGGGAUUAGAUACCCCAGUAGUC